UACGGAGGGUGCAAACGUUGCUCGGAAUCAUUGGGCGUAAAGCGCACGUAGGCGGUCGGCUAUGUCGGAUGUGAAAGCCUCGGGCUUAACCCGAGAAGGGCAUCCGAAACUGGCCGGCUUGAGUAUGGAAGAGGGUCUCGGAAUUCCCGGUGUAGAGGUGAAAUUCGUAGAUAUCGGGAGGAACACCAGUGGCGAAGGCGGAGACCUGGGCCGAUACUGACGCUGAGGUGCGAAAGCGUGGGGAGCGAACAGG
rnacentral:rRNA from 1 species